AAGUUCAUUCUUCCUUCUUGUCCAGGGCAAAUCUACCCAACCUAUGGACAGACCCUCUUCAGCUGGGUUCCCACAGUGCCCCCAGGCACAGGUGCUUGUUAUGCCUAGGAAGGAACUCAGAAGCAGGCAGGAGCUGCUCACCUCCAGGAAGGACUUCUGAACCGUGAGCUGGCUGUACACGCGACUGCCCUCUUCCCCGCACACUUUUUUCAGUUCCUCCUUGUUGAGUGAGAAGAGCUGGGGUCCAGUUAAGAUGCCCAGGUUCUCCACGAUCCUAGGGGCGGGUGGGUGUGAGGGCGGGGCCGUGGGCGUGGCACUGCCCACCAGGCCCCGCCCCACCGGCUGUACACCCGGGGCUCACCUGGCACUGAAGGCCUUGGCUUCCAGCCAGGCGCGGACCUCGUCCGGUCCUGACUCGAAGGUAAGCGGCAGGUGCACUGGCUGGCUGCGCUCCACGCGGAAGUUGCGCUGCGGCUGUGUCUUGAUGUGGCUGAUCUUUUUCAUGAGCUCGUCAUUGACCUCGUCCAUGUGGUGGAUUAGCUCUGUGGGGCGCACGCUCUCAGCCCCUUCACUCAGACCGAACCGUUCUCUGCCUCUUCCCACCCCCCCGCCCUCCCCCGCAUCCUAUCACCUCCCUCCCCCACUCCCCCCGCACUUCUAACCCCAAAGUGGGUCUACUCACCUUCUUUGUUCCCUGCGAAAAUGGGGGGCAGUUUGUGGGUGGGGCUGGCUGGACCCCAGUAUUUCUGGCCAGACUGCAAGGAGUGAGGAAGAGGUGAGGGGUAAGGUGAGGGGCUAUUAUAUAAGGACUUACCCAGGACCCCAGAUGAGUGGGCCAGCCCUUUCUUCCCUUGAGUAAGACCCCAGGAACCCACACAGCCCUUGGCCCAGCUUGGGGGCAGCAGGUUUCCAGGGAUCAGGUUCAAAUAUCACAUUGAGACCAGCUGCACCCCUGACCUUAGGGGCUCUGACUGUGCUGUAGACAGAAUGGAGUCGUGGCAGGCGAUCACCUGUUCCAAGGGGGCACCCACGUCCUCUUGCCGAGCCUCAGCCAGGAUGUUACAGGGCACGUAGCCCGCCUGGCCACUGCGAUUUCGUAGCUUCCACCACUGCCGGCCAUCCUCCAGCACCUGCCAAGUGUCCAAAUGUCUGUGAGACUCACCAGCAUCCUCGUGCAGACCUCAAGUACUGCUUGAGUCAGAUGCUGGGGACAGUUGCCAAACCCUUUACAGAGGGGCAAAGCAUCGUCCAGGAAUCUCAAGCACAGCUCUCCAUCCUCUGGGCAUGUCUUGGCCUGAUGGGCUACCCAGUACCUGCCUGCCUCCCCAGUCCUGGAGAUAGGGUACCUCUUAACCUGAUUCUGAGUGCAGAGCUUCCCCCAGCCUGCUCCACUUUCUGUCCCUCAGUAGGUGGCCUGGAUUCAGGUUAGGCACAAAUAAGUUGGUCCAGGGUAGUGUUCUUGGGUGGCCAUGAAUGACAAGCCCCGGCUGGCUUCUACCGAAGGGCUACCCACCAUGGUAGACCUUCAGGGAUCCCCCAGACAUCAGACGGCAGCUCAGUGGCUCAGCCAGACUGUGGUGGAGGUCAGAGAGGCCCCUGGAGGCCCAGUAGGAAGCCCAGGUCAAGCACACUGGGAAGAUGGGUGGAUUACAGACCAUGGUCCCAGAGCAUACCCCUCUUCCCCUGUGUAGCCUGGGUCCUUAGCCCGGGUCCUUACCUCUAGGACCUCGUCCUUGAGCACAGACAGCUCAUUGGCGUUUCGUGCUGUGAAAUCAUAGAGGAUCUUCACAUACUUGGUCAUGGCUGGUGUCGGCUGGUAGCCCCUGCAGGACCAGGAAGAGUUGAGGCCCAGGGCUGGACAGGAGUCUCUUCCUGCUUCCCAGCUGCAGCUGCCUCCUGUUCGGCUGCCCAGGUUGCAGUGAAGAGAGGCUGUGCUUCUCAGCUGGGAGUGGAAACUGUGACACUCCAGCAGGCAGGGGGGGGGGGGCAGAACAGACUCCAAGAGGCUGGUCCAGCUCAAACUAUCUUGGGGAGUCUCUUGCCCUGCUCCUCAGAGGGACUAGAGCAAGAGGUGUGCCUAGGGAGUGACAGGGUCACAUGUUCCCAGUCGACCACAGAGCUAGGAUAUUUUCAGUUACAGCCCCUUAGAGAUACGAUGUGUCCUUUCUGGAAGUCCCCUUGCAUCCCUGGAGCAGGGGUGAGCUCUGGCUAAUGAUUUCCCCCCAGCCAGGUCACAUUCCUGGUCAGUGUGGCACUGGGGAGGGAGGAGGGAUGGGGGAUCCAGGUCUGUGCCCAGUGUACUAAUAGGCUGAGAAUGUCCCAUACAUGUGAUCCCAGUAGGGACACUAGAUAGCUAAAGAAAUCCCAAGGAGAGGGGCUCACUUUGAAAAGGAGCCCUAGGACCACCAGGUAGACUCUGGGUAUGAGUAAGAACCAGAGAGGGAGGUAAGAGGGAUCCCCCAUGUCUUGGGCUCUCUUAAACUCACGGGGGAGUGUGGGAUGCAUGCGCAGGGGGGAGGGGAUAAUCAGGGCCCCUCGCUCUGAGUUCCCAGCAGCACCACAGUGGGCAGCGCUUGGAGGAGUUACUGGUGGCCUUUGUUUCUUUCCUUCCUUUUUUGGUUCAGUGAGUUUCUAACCUUGAUUUUAAUUUAAUUAAAAUUUUGACAGCGUCUCACUAUGCAGCCAUUAACUGCCUCAGACUCACAGAGCUCUGCCUGCCUCUGCCUCCUGAGUCCUGGGAUCAAAGGUGUGGGUCUACACAUCCAAUCUCUGUCCCUUUCUAACACUGAUUAUGAAACAAGAAAAGUCUCGGGAGGCAGAGGCAGGCGAAUUUCUGAGUUCGAGGCCAGCCUGGUCUACAGAGUGAGUUCCAGGACAGCCAGGGCUACACAGAGAAACCCUGUCUC
ensembl:processed_transcript